UACGGGGGGAGCAAGCGUUGUUCGGAUUUACUGGGCGUAAAGGGCGCGUAGGCGGUCAGUGCAAGUCAGUUGUGAAAUCUCCGGGCUUAACUCGGAAAGGUCAACUGAUACUGUGCGACUAGAGUGCAGAAGGGGCAACUGGAAUUCUCGGUGUAGCGGUGAAAUGCGUAGAGAUCAUGAGGAAGACCAGUGGCGAAGGCGGCUCACUGGCCCGAUACUGACGCUGAGGUGCGAAAGCGUGGGGAGCAAACAGG
rnacentral:rRNA from 1 species